UGCGAUGAGCGACGCAGCAGAUCGGCCAUAGGCCCCAGCCCAGGGAGCUGUCCAGGAGGAGAAGACGCUGCCAGUAUGCCCCUUCGCCACCUCCCGGGGCAUGUCACGGCUCGGGGCUGAGGGACUCGGGCAGAAUCCCAGUCCCGACCAGGCUCUGGACGUCCAAGUACGGCGGCGGCGGCUUCUGGGUCGCGGCUCCAGGCACGGGGCCGCCCCGGAGCCUCCCGGGUCCCAGAGGAGGCGGCGCGGGACCUGCAGGGGCCUGAGGGAGCCUCGGGACUGAGGGGCUGAGAACCACUCGAACCCAGCUCCGGAGGUCUCCGGGCCGGCAGGGAAGGGAGCCUGGCGGUGGAGCUGGGGCCGCUCCCGGAGAGGCCGGACCAACGGCAGCAUCCGCCCCGCCCCAUCGCAGGUCGGGCCCCUCGAGCCCCGACCCAACCCCGCCUGCCCCCAGGGUCGGGGCAGCCACACAACAACGGUCGCCCCCAGCGCUGCCUACCGCCCUCACUCACCACCCCGAGGCUCCGACGUCCUGAGGCGGCGGUGGCGGCGGCUGCGCCGGAAUCCAAAGCGAGGCUCGGGAGUGAGACGACCAGCGCAGCCUAAGGAGGCCUCGCGCUCGCGAUAGGGGCGGGGUGGGGGGGGUUUCAGGGGGGAGGGGACCAGGAGAGGGGAAGAGUGGGAGCGCCGGGCUUCAGAGCCGAGUUUCGCGCCAACCCGAGAGCUUCCUUUUCCGCCACCUGGCGGAAGUUACGCUACCAGGGCGGCGCGGGAGGGGGGAGGUGUUCUCCGGGUUCCUGCUGGAUCUGUUUCCGAUCUAUUACCGUUUCCCACCAGGCGGAAGUGGGGCGAUUUACGGUUUCCGGAAAGGGGAAAGUUCCAGAUAUCCAAGGCCAUCUUUCAAGGUGAGACGACAGGCAAGUAUGUGUCCUGUAAAGGAGAAGGCACCCCGGACCUGUGAGAAACUUCAAGCAAUACCAAAGGAUGGAAGAUAUAUGGACAACUGGAAAGAACUUUGAAUCAAAGACAUUAUGAGGAACGAACUUCAGGAAAAUGGGUC
rnacentral:lncRNA from 1 species